GUAGCUAACUAAGUAAUUAAGUAACUAAAUUCUGUUGCUAAUCCAAAACCUACUUACCAAUAGCUGAUGAAUCAGAAUAUGGACUUCGGAGAACAGAAACUAUAUGUUUCCUUAAACUUCUGCAUGAAAAAAGAGACGAAGAAGAGGUUUGGAGCCGUAAAGAGACGUUUGUUAUAACUGAAGCUCCGGUAAUGGCUGACGUCACCAUUUUGAUGCUCCGGCGAGGGUUCGGUGACUAAAGGGAGAGUGUUCUGGUGAAACGGGAUAAGAGGUCGGGAUAA